CCAGACUCCUACGGGAGGCAGCAGUGGGGAAUAUUGGGCAAUGGGCGCAAGCCUGACCCAGCGACGCCGCGUGAAGGAAGAAGGCUUUCGGGUUGUAAACUUCUUUUCUGGGGGACGAAGAAAGUGACGGUACCUGUCGAAUAAGCCACGGCUAACUACGUGCCAGCAGCCGCGGUAAUACGUAGGUGGCAAGCGUUGUCCGGAUUUACUGGGUGUAAAGGGCGUGUAGCCGGGCUUACAAGUCAGAUGUGAAAUCCGGGGGCUCAACCCCCGAACUGCAUUUGAAACUGUAGGUCUUGAGUAUCGGAGAGGCAGGCGGAAUUCCUAGUGUAGCGGUGAAAUGCGUAGAUAUCAGGAGGAACACCGGUGGCGAAGGCGGCCUGCUGGACUGCAACUGACGUUGAGGCCCGAAAGCGUGGGGAGCAAACAGGAUUAGAUACCCCAGUA
rnacentral:rRNA from 1 species